GAGCUGUUGAACGGUUUCGGUUUGCAACCGGGUCGCGGACGUGGUUUGUGAUUAAUAUGCGUGCCGAAAACGUAACGAAAACCGCCCGUGCGAUGGCGGCGUUCGUGUCGGUCGUCGUCGCGCCGGCUUUACCCGCGGAAUCCGCGAGAAUAUUGGCGAUAGAGACGUUCGCGGCCAAGAGCCACUGGAACUUUAUGAGCGCGGUGAUCCGGGCGCUGACGGACGGCGAGCAUCGCGUCACCGUGUUCACGCCGUUUCCGGACGGGAACCGAGUGAACUACACGGAAGACACGCCGGGAACGCUGCCGAUAACGGUCAACACGGACCUGAUGUUGGCGAAAAAGACGUACGGCGACGUGCGGUCGGUGAUCUCAAUGAUGGUGUGGUGUGGUGGUCCAAAUUGAAUUGCGACGGGAUGCACAAAGACCGUCGACUCGCCG